CAUUUUCUUUUCCUUGUUUUCUUUUUCUUUCUUUUAUUUUCUUCUUCCUUCCCCUAACUUCUUGGGCACCAAAACCACAACUUCUAACCCCAUUUUUCAGCACAUCUAAACCUUAGGAAAGAGAAAGAAAAAUCUCUCUUUCUUUUCUUCUUUUUCUUCCUUUUCUAUUUCUACUCCACUUGCAUCAAUACUUGAAUUUUCGGCUGCAGAUCUUCAUUUUAAAGCCAAUAGGUUUUGCUGAUCUUCAUGCCUUUAAGCACCAAGGUUCGAAGGUAGCUGGAUCUUAGGUAGAGGCGUUUCCUUCUGUUCAUCUUACGGUAGGUUUACCAAAAUACCCCAUGAUAGUAUCCACGCCAGAGUCACUCCGCUAAUAGUCAAGGUCUUUUGUAUGUGUAUAUGGCUAUUUAAAUGUAAUUCAUGAG